rnacentral:misc_RNA from 1 species
GAUAAGAACGUAGCGAAAUGCGAUAAGUAGUGUGAAUUGCAGAAUUCAGUGAAUCAUCGAAUCUUUGAACGCACAUUGCGCCUCCUGGUAUUCCGGGAGGCAUGCCUGUUCGAGCGUCAUUAAAAUCACUCAAGCUUAGGUUUACCUAUUGCUUGGUCUUGGAGAUGGAAGCCAAUUUAUUGGAAUCCUCUUCGAAAUUCAAUGGCGAAGACCCUUGCUCUCCCAAGUGUAGUAAUAACUUAUGUCACUGAAGGAAGCGAGAAAUCUUCUACCGUAACCCCCAUAUUUUCUAUGAUUGACCUCGGAUCAGGUAGGGAUACCCGCUGAACUUAAGCAUAUCAAUAAGCGGAGGA